rnacentral:rRNA from 1 species
GAUGAACGCUGACAGAAUGCUUAACACAUGCAAGUCUACUUGAAUUUGGGUUUUUUAACUUAGAUUUGGGUGGCGGACGGGUGAGUAACGCGUAAAGAACUUGCCUCACAGCUAGGGACAACAUUUGGAAACGAAUGCUAAUACCUGAUAUUAUGAUUAUAAGGCAUCUUAGAAUUAUGAAAGCUAUAUGCGCUGUGAGAGAGCUUUGCGUCCCAUUAGCUAGUUGGAGAGGUAACGGCUCACCAAGGCGAUGAUGGGUAGCCGGCCUGAGAGGGUGAACGGCCACAAGGGGACUGAGACACGGCCCUUACUCCUGCGGGAUGCAGCAGUGGGGAAUAUUGGACAAUGGACCAAGAGUCUGAUCCAGCAAUUCUGUGUGCACGAUGACGUUUUUCGGAAUGUAAAGUGCUUUCAGUUGGGAAGAAAAAAAUGACGGUACCAACAGAAGAAGUGACGGCUAACUACGUG